rnacentral:rRNA from 1 species
CUGUGUGUUGUUGGGUAGGGGAGCGUUCUGUAAGCCUGUGAAGGUGUGUCGUGAGGCAUGCUGGAGGUAUCAGAAGUGCGAAUGCUGACAUAAGUAACGAUAAAGCGGGUGAAAAGCCCGCUCGCCGGAAGACCAAGGGUUCCUGUCCAACGUUAAUCGGGGCAGGGUGAGUCGACCCCUAAGGCGAGGCCGAAAGGCGUAGUCGAUGGGAAACGGGUUAAUAUUCCCGUACUUGGUGUUACUGCGAAGGGGGGACGGAGAAGGCUAUGUUGGCCGGGCGACGGUUGUCCCGGUUUAAGCGUGUAGGUGUGUGUUCCAGGUAAAUCCGGUUCACUUUAACACUGAGGCGUGAUGACGAGGCACUACGGUGCUGAAGCAACAAAUGCCCUGCUUCCAGGAAAAGCCUCUAAGCAUCAGGUAACAUCAAAUCGUACCCCAAACCGACACAGGUGGUCAGGUAGAGAAUACCAAGGCGCUUGAGAGAACUCGGGUGAAGGAACUAGGCAAAAUGGUGCCGUAACUUCGG